rnacentral:rRNA from 1 species
GCUUGUUGGUGGGGUAAUGGCCUACCAAGGCGACGAUCUCUAGCUGGUCUGAGAGGAUGAUCAGCCACACCGGAACUGAGACACGGUCCGGACUCCUACGGGAGGCAGCAGUGGGGAAUAUUGGACAAUGGGCGCAAGCCUGAUCCAGCCAUGCCGCGUGAGUGAUGAAGGCCUUAGGGUCGUAAAGCUCUUUCGCCUGUGAAGAUAAUGACUGUAGCAGGUAAAGAAACCCCGGCUAACUCCGUGCCAGCAGCCGCGGUAAUACGGAGGGGGCUAGCGUUGUUCGGAAUUACUGGGCGUAAAGCGCACGUAGGCGGAUCGUUAAGUGAGGGGUGAAAUCCCAGGGCUCAACCCUGGAACUGCCUUUCAUACUGGCGAUCUUGAGUUCGAGAGAGGUGAGUGGAAUUCCGAGUG